rnacentral:rRNA from 1 species
CGAACGCUGGCGGCAGGCCUAACACAUGCAAGUCGAGCGCCCCGCAAGGGGAGCGCGGACGGGUGAGUAACGCGUGGGAACGUACCCUUUGCCUACGGAAUAGCCUCGGGAAACUGGGAGUAAUACCGUAUGUGCCCUUCGGGGGAAAGAUUUAUCGGCAAAGGAUCGGCCCGCGUUGGAUUAGGUAGUUGGUGGGGUAAUGGCCUACCAAGCCGACGAUCCAUAGCUGGUUUGAGAGGAUGAUCAGCCACACUGGGACUGAGACACGGCCCAGACUCCUACGGGAGGCAGCAGUGGGGAACUCUUAGACAAUGGGCGCAAGCCUGAUCUAGCCAUGCCGCGUGAGCGAUGAAGGCCUUAGGGUUGUAAAGCUCUUUCAGUGGGGAAGAUAAUGACUGUACCCACAGAAGAAGCCCCGGCUAACUCCGUG